rnacentral:rRNA from 1 species
GAUGAACGCUGGCGGCGUGCCUAAUACAUGCAAGUCGAGCGAACAGACGAGGAGCUUGCUCCUCUGACGUUAGCGGCGGACGGGUGAGUAACACGUGGAUAACCUACCUAUAAGACUGGGAUAACUUCGGGAAACCGGAGCUAAUACCGGAUAAUAUAUUGAACCGCAUGGUUCAAUAGUGAAAGACGGUUUUGCUGUCACUUAUAGAUGGAUCCGCGCCGCAUUAGCUAGUUGGUAAGGUAACGGCUUACCAAGGCAACGAUGCGUAGCCGACCUGAGAGGGUGAUAGGCCACACUGGAACUUAGACACGGUCCAGGCUCCUGCGGGAGGCAGCAGUAGGGAAUCUUCCGCAAUGGGCGAAAGCCUGACGGAGCAACGCCGCGUGAGUGAUGAAGGUCUUCGGAUCGUAAAACUCUGUUAUUAGGGAAGAACAAAUGUGUAAGUAACUAUGCACGUCUUGACGGUACCUAAUCAGAAAGCCACGGCUAACUACGUG